AGCGUGGCUAGGGGCGGAGCGACUGCCGCGCGGUAGUCAGGGAGCUGUGCGGGUCCUGGUUGCAAGAGAGUCUGUUUGCCAGCCAACCCCAGCCCGGGAGGGGAUCAGGGCCACCAGGUUGCUGGAAGGAUUAAAGGACUGGAGGGCAUCAUAAACAUGAAGAAAAAUGUGGGAGAAUAUGAUAAUUGAAAGAAGAAGAGUUUGUGGUCAAAGGGAGAGAUUAAAGAUGUGCAACUUCAGAUUUCCUGGACCUGCCUACCAUCCUGAUCACAGACGUAGAAGGACCAGGUCAGUACCAGACUUUGGGGUCAAAUAAUGUAUAUUAUUUCUUGUAGAAACCUUGUGCUGCUGAGACUAAAUGAGGGGAAAAGGUCUGUCACUCUUGCUUUCUAUUGUUGGUCAUCUCCACGUUCAUUGGCUAAGUGAACUCAAUUUGACUCUAAGUAUCUGAUCAUAUAUCUGUUCUAAGCAUUCUAUUUUGGUGUAUACCCUAGGUUUUUGUUUCUAUGCCUGAUUUUUCCAAUUUUAAUAAAAACAGUUACUUGCUGAGGACUAGUUAAUUC
rnacentral:lncRNA from 1 species